AGUGAACGCUGGCGGUAGGCCUAACACAUGCAAGUCGAACGGCAGCACAGUAAGAGCUUGCUCUUACGGGUGGCGAGUGGAGGACGGGUGAGGAAUACAUCGGAAUCUACUUUUUCGUGGGGGAUAACGUAGGGAAAAUUAAGCUAAUACCGCAUACGACCUACGGGUGAAAGAAGGGGAUCUUCGGACCUUGCGCGAGUGAAUGAACCGAUGUCGGAUUAGCUAGUUGGCGGGGGAAAGGCGCACCAAGCCGAGGAACCGUAGCUGGUCUGAGAGGAUGAUCAGCCACACUGGGACGGAGACACGGGCCAGACUCCUACAGGAGGCAGCAGUGGGGGAUAUUGGACAAUGGGCGCAAGCCUGAUCCAGCCAUACCGCGUGAGUGAAGAAGGCCAUCGGGUUGUAAAGCCCUUUUGUUGGGAAAGAAAAGCAGCAGGUUAAUACCCCGCUGUUCUGGCGGUACCCAAAGAAUAAGCACCGGCUAACUUCGUG
rnacentral:rRNA from 1 species